CGAGAGUUGCGAGACUCCCAAACCAUUGUGAACACUACCUACACCGUUCCUUCGGCGGGGGGCGCUCCCGCCCUAAGCCGGCCCCGUCCCCGGGGCUGGACCCGCCGGGGGCCCUUAAACUCUGUAUCUCUGUUGGCCUCUCUGAGUUUUGUUAUAUAAACGAGUCA
rnacentral:misc_RNA from 1 species